UACGUAGGGGGCAAGCGUUGUCCGGAAUUAUUGGGCGUAAAGAGCGUGUAGGCGGUCCGGUAAGUCAGCUGUGAAAGUCAAGGGCUCAACCCUUGAAAGCCGGUUGAUACUGUCGGGCUAGAGUCCGGAAGAGGCGAGUGGAAUUCCUGGUGUAGCGGUGGAAUGCGCAGAUAUCAGGAGGAACACCGGUGGCGAAGGCGGGUCUCUGGGCAGUAACUGACGCUGAGGAGCGAAAGCGUGGGGAGCGAACAGG
rnacentral:rRNA from 1 species